rnacentral:rRNA from 1 species
UAGCCCUGAAAAUGGAUGGCGCUAAAGCGCCGUACCCAUACCCGGCCGUCGGGACGAGAGGCCUGUCCCGACGAGUAGGAGGGCGCGGUGGUGGCCGUGCAUCCCGAGGCGCGAGCCUGGGCGAAGCCGCCACUGGUGCAGAUCUUGGUGGUAGUAGCAAAUAUUCAAACGAGAGCUUUGAAGACUGAAGUGGAGAAAGGUUCCAUGUGAACAGCAGUUGGACAUGGGUUAGUCGAUCCUAAGAGAUGGGGAAGCUCCCUAGCAAGGGUGCACUCACUUCUGUGACCGCACCGUCCAUCGAAAGGGAAUCGGGUUAACAUUCCCGAACCGGGACGAGGAUAGGGCCUCGCGCCUACGGCGGCAACGCAAGCGAACUCGGAGACGCCGGCGGGAGCUCCGGGAAGGGUUCUCUUUCCUUCUUAACGGACCGUCACCCUGGAAUCAGAUUGGCUGGAGAUAGGGUCGAAUGUCCGGUAAAGCGCCGCACCUCUGGCGGUGUCCGGUGCGCUCUCGACGGCCCCUGAAAAUCCGAGGGAGCGAAUGAUUCUCUCGCCCGGUCGUACUCAUAACCGCAGCAGGUCUCCAAGGUGAACAGCCUCUAGUUGAUAGAACAAUGUAGGUAAGGGAAGUCGGCAAAACAGAUCCGU